CACACUGGCCAGUCGGUGGUUGAAAGUAGUCAAGUGCAGCAGCGGGCGACGUUUUUUUGCAACCGCUGCGUAAACAAAAUCUGUUGAUAAGAAGUCCCCAGCAAACAACUAACAAUUAAAAACACGUCGUGUGCGUGUGUGCAAAACCUCUGUUGUUUAUCCACAAGAAACAAGAGCGAAUUACCAAAAAAUAAAAUUCAUCCAGCUUACGAAGCUGUGUUUGUUGUGUGAGUGUGUGUGUGUGCCAGUGUUUAUGUGUGUGCGUGCGUGCGCUUGUAUAUGUGCGUCUCGGGCAGCCUAAACGCGAAGUCGAAGAUAGCCCGAAAACAGAAAACAGAAGUUAUAGUAUAUCUGUCUGUCAACAUAUUUCGCAAGGCCAAAGUCAGCAUAAAACAGUGGCAAAGGGCGCACCAGGUGAACAAAUUCUCCAAAAAUAUAAAAGAACAACAGUUAAGCGAAGAGGAAGCAGCAGCUAGAGCAGCGUACCAGCUUCAAGCAGAGGCCAAACGCAAAAUCUGUCGCAGGUCAAAAGUGACGCAUAGGACGACGCAGCCCUAAAGCCCUAAAAUAAAAAUAUUAACAGAGUUGAGCUCGUUUUGUGUGAUCCAUUAUGAUGGAGCUGGAGCCUCGCGUGGCCAUAUUGCAGGAUCUGCGGCUACAGACCUUCGACUCGAUACGCUUCGCCUCGUAUCGGACCGCUUCGAAGUUGCGCUACAUACAGAAGUCGACCAAUUUGCAUCUGGUGGACAUUUGGAAUGUGAUCGAGGCGUUCCGUGAGAAUGGCCUGAACACACUGGAGCCGCAGAGCGAUGUGAGCGUGGCGCGUCUGGAGACGCUCGUCUCCUCGCUCUAUCACAAUCUGAACAAGCGUCUGCCGACCGCACAGCAGGUGCCCGUGGACUCGAAGGCGGGUCUCUUGCUCAACUGGCUGCUGGCUGCCUACACCAGCGACAACUCGGGCAAAAUACGCGUGUUUUCCAUUAAGGUGGCGCUGGCUACCAUGUGCUCCGGCAAGCUGGUCGACAAGCUCAGAUAUAUCUUUUCACAGAUUUCGGAUGGUGGGGGACAGCUGGUUGCCUGGAAGCUGGGUGAAUUUUUGCGUGAGGUAUUGGCGCUGCCGGCGGCCGUUUAUGAGUCGCCCACAUUCCACUAUAAGGACGGGCUGGAGGAGGAGAUAUUUCCGGCUGAGAAUAAGGUCACCGUUAAUGAUUUCAUGGCAACACUUAUGUCCGAACCGGGCCCGUCGUGUCUCGUUUGGCUGCCGCUAUUGCAUCGGCUGGCCACGGUUGAGACAAUUGUGCAUCCGACGAUCUGUUCUGUUUGCCAUAAGGAAAACUUCACCGGAUUUCGUUAUCGUUGUCAGCGCUGUCACGCCUACCAAUUGUGCCAGGAGUGCUUUUGGCAUGGCAAGACAUCGCUGAACCAUCAAAACGAUCACGAGGUCAAGGAGUACUCGAGCUACAAGUCGCCCAGCAAACAGAUUGGUCACUCCUUGCGCAAGAGCUUCCGUUGUGUGCCCGAGAAGACGACGCAAGUGUUGCCACGAUUCCCCGACCAGCCCGAAAAGACACUCAAUUUAUCGCACAUUGUGCCGCCAUCGCCGUUACCCUCGCACAAUGGCUUCUCCGAUCCAACGCUGGGCCAUCUGCACGGUCCCGGCCCGGGACCCGGGACCCAUCAUCCGGGCAUCUUUGAUCGUUCCAGUACGCUGGAUUCACGGGCCACCGGACGCAGCCUGGACACGACCAUGUCCCGUGUCGCGGCCGCCUCGGCCAACGAUGAGGAGCAUCGCCUGAUUGCACGCUAUGCCGCGCGUCUGGCCCAGGAGAAUCGCGCUCCCUCCAAUAUGCCCAAUGCGGAGAGCAUCACGCCCAUUGGCACGGAUAAUUCGCGUGCGCAGCGCGAAUUGAUCGCGCAGCUGGAGUCGAAGAACAAGGAGAUAAUGCGCGAAAUAGCGCGCCUGCGCCGCCAGCAGGAGACUGAGCAAAUGGCGCCCGAGAAUCCGGCGCUGAUCAAUGAGCUGCGCGCCUUGCGGCAGCGCAAGGGCGAACUGGAGGGCCAUUUGGGCGCGCUGCAGGAUUCGCGACGGCAGCUCAUGGAACAGCUGGAGGGCCUGAUGCGCAUGCUCAAGAAUCAACAGACUGCCUCGCCGCGCUCCACGCCCAAUUCCAGUCCACGCUCCGGCAAAUCGCCGCCCAUGCCGGGUGGCGGAGCAGGUGGUGGCUCGGCGACAACUUCAGCCAACGCUGGCGUCCUGGGCACCUCGCCCAUGAGCGCUCUGCAUGCCCAGCAGCUGCAGCAGCUGCAACAGCAUCCGAUGCUGCGCUCCACACAGCAACAGCUGCUGCAGCAGCAGCAGGCGGCACAGCAAAGUCAAUCCUCGCCCGGCCUCGGCCACGGACCCUUCAGCCAGAGCCAGCUGGAGCAGCUCAAUCAGAUCAGCAGCGACAUGCGCAGCGCCUUUGCCGCCAACGGCAGUGCAACCCCGCCGCCCAUAUUGAAUGCCAAUCCCAAUGCCGAUGCCGAGCUGAACGCAACUGCCGACAACAUAACGUCGGCCAUUUCGACAAUGGUCAGCGAUCUGAAUACAGAACAUUUCUUGCCGCCGGCUCGUUUCAUUAUGCCUUUGGAGUAUCGCCACAUCGAGGGCCGCGAAUCCGUUCCGUCCGGCUGCGGCGGCGGCGACUGCGAUUCUCUGGCGUACGAGGAGAUCUUUCGCACCGAUGAGGAUCUUGCUGCUGCCACGCCCCUUUAUACAGAUCCCCUCGAUGAUGGAUUCGAUUAUAAUUUCGGGCUGAGCGAGGAGCAGUCGCAGCUGAACCGGCUGCUCGCCUAUCGCCACCAACCCGAGCUCUUUAUCGAUGAUGACGAGGCCGGCUUUCCGGCGCUCCACGAGAUCGGUGAGACAAUCGAUGAACUCCAGUUGAUAAUGCACGCUUACAUUAUGAAAUAUAGUUUGAAUAUAUAAAAAGAACAAGAGAGAAUUGAAAAAAAAAACAUUUGUAGGUUCACGCGUUGUUCAGAUUUCGAUGAAACUCAAUCCUAUAAUCCCGAAUGGAAUGAAAAGGCAAAUGCGAAUAGCCAAUGGCAGGAGCAGUUUGCCCAAUGGAGUCUCAAUUCACAAAAUAACUAAAAAAAAAAACGGAAAAAUGAAAAAUGGAUCCAACGUUGGAACAUAUAUAAAUAUAUACAUAUACUUAGUGCGGAUCGGCGCUUAGCUUUUUAAAAACUUAAAACUUAUGUUGAUCUAGAGCAAUUUAUUUAUUUGACUACUUUAGUCUGUCUUAAUCUUAUAAAACAUUUUAAUUUAUUUUGGCGGGCAUAUAUAUACAUAUAUAUAUAUAUAUUUAUCCAUAAAUAUAUACUUCUAUACGUACGUACACAUUGAUUUGUGAACAGGAAAUCUAUAUGAAAAAUGAAAUUUCUAUAAGACUUGCAUUUGAAGUCGCAAUUCUCUUGAAUCUCUAUCGUUAUGUUUAGCUCGAUAUCUAUUUUGAAUGCGCUUUAUUGCACGUUGGAGUUGUGCAACUAUUUAUUACAUAUUUAACAUGAAUGAAAAUCAAACAUAUAAUACAAAUACAAAUACUAUAUAGACAUUUAUGUACUUAGCAACUAGCGACUUGUUGAAAAAAAGAACGUAAAACUAAAAUCAAAUUCGAAAUGCUGAUCCCUUCUAUAUUUCCAAAAAAGGCCAGCAGUACAAUAAAUAUUUAAACAAAA